UAGAUUGGCCAGGGGAGCCGGGCGAGAGUUCGGCUGAGAUACCGGUUGGUGACCCUCUGAACCUGAUCGGGGUAAUACCCGCGAAGGGAGUGCUUUAACGGAAACAC
rnacentral:ncRNA from 2 species